rnacentral:rRNA from 1 species
UACAGAGGGUGCAAGCGUUGUUCGGAAUUAUUGGGCGUAAAGCGCUUGUAGGCGGCACGUCAAGUCGCGUGUGAAAUCCCCAGGCUUAACCUGGGAAGUGCGCGCGAAACUGACGAGCUUGAGUGCCGGAGAGGGUCGCGGAAUUCCCGGUGUAGAGGUGAAAUUCGUAGAUAUCGGGAGGAACACCAGUGGCGAAGGCGGCGACCUGGACGGACACUGACGCUGAGACGCGAAAGCGUGGGGGAGCAAACAGG